rnacentral:rRNA from 1 species
UACGGGGGGGGCAAGCGUUGUUCGGAAUUACUGGGCGUAAAGGGCCAGUAGGCGGCCAACUAAGUCCGACGUGAAAUCCCAAGGCUUAACUUUGGAACUGCGUCGGAUACUGGAUGGCUUGAAUUCGGGAGAGGGAUGCAGAAUUCCAGGUGUAGCGGUGAAAUGCGUAGAUAUCUGGAGGAACACCGGUGGCGAAGGCGGCAUCCUGGACCAACACUGACGCUGAGUGAGCGAAAGCCAGGGGAGCAAACGGG